GGGCAGUAUCCUGGGAAAUCUAAAAGACAUGGCCCUGAACAUAGGCAAUGAGAUUGAUGCUCAAAAUCCACGAAUAAAACGAAUCACAGACAAGGUUGACACCAACAAAGAUCGUAUUGACAUUGCCAAUGCCAGAGCAAAGAAACUCAUUGACAGCUAAAGCUACUGCUGUACUUGUUUAUCAUUUAUUCACUUCC